AUUGGGCAUGGUAAAAAACUACACAUCCAUAAGCGCCCCCAUAAAAGUACGACAUACAUUCAAAAGUAGGAAGAAUCUUGGGAAAACUACUGUUUUGCAGGGUUUCCAUACAUUGAGAAUUUUGAGGAUGUUUAAGAGCUGUAGCUGCUAUAUUUCAGUCAUUUUUGUCUGGAUGCUGUCCACAAGAAUACAGGGCAAGAUGCCAGCAUCACACCGGAGUGAUCGGGUCUGGAUGUAUUACAAGGUCGUUGGUUAAAUGAAUAACCGGUUUCCUUUCAUUAUUUUAACUGGUUUUCAAUGAAACCAGAGUCAAUCCACCUCUCGUUCUCGCAAGUACUCCUCAAAAAAGAGUUCGCACAGAUCCAAUGUCUCAAAAAAUAAGGCUCAGAAACACUUGGUAAUGUUGAAAAUUGGAGCUUUUGACUUUUGAAAAAUACUCUCACUAUUUUUUAUGAAAUAGCCUUUUAGGCUUUUAGCUGAUACUUUGAAUAGGGGUCUCCAACCUUUUGUUAGCGUGGCAGCAGUGUCCACGAUUUAUCAUUUGUCCUGUCUUCAACUUUUAAAGUUUUGGCAGCGUAUUCUUAAAUAAACUAUGCUCAAUUAUUUAGUUCAGAAAUCCGUGAGCAACUAGAAAAUUCUAGUACACUCGAAGCAUUGAAA